rnacentral:rRNA from 1 species
UAACAACUCACCUGCCGAAUGAACUAGCCCUGAAAAUGGAUGACGCUGAAGCGGGCAGCCGACACCUCGCCGUUUGGGUAAACGCGGCUCAAAUGAGUAGGAGGGCGUGGAGGUCGUGUCGAAGGUCUGGACGCAAGUCUGACUGGAACGGCCUCUAGUGCAGAUCUUGGUGGUAGUAGCAAAUAUUCAAGCGAGAUCCUUGAAGGAUGAAGCGGGGAAGGGUUCCACGCGAACAUUGAUUGGGCGUGGGUGAGUCGUCCCUAAGCCAGGUGGUAAUCGUUCUCGAUGUGGCGAAAGGGAAGCGGGUUAAAAUUCCUGCACACGGAUGUGAAAGCGGUGACGCAUGUUGAGGUGAAGACGUCAGUGAUAUCACUAGGCAGAGUUUUCUUUUCUGUUUAACCUCUGAGAUGCACUGUGUGGAAUCCGAUUAUCGGGAGAAACACGUGCCGAAGGGAAUAGCGUCGGGAUGUUCUCGGCGUCUAGUACGCUAUCAAUGACCCAUGAAAAUUCAUCUUGCAAUUAAAUUUCACGCCGUGGCGUACCGAUAACCGCAUC